rnacentral:rRNA from 1 species
UCUGGUUGAUCCUGCCAGUAGUCAUAUGCUUGUCCCAAAGAUUAAGCCAUGCAUGUCUAAGUAUAAAUAGUAUACAGUGAAACUGCGAAUGGCUCUUUAAAACAGUUAUAGUUUAUUUGAUAAUUGACAAUUACAUGGAUAACCGUGGUAAUCCUAGAGCUAAUACAUGCUUAAACGCCCGACUUUAUGGAAGGGUGGUAUUUAUUAGACUGAAGCCAAUAUUCCUUGUGUCUAUUGCGGUGAUUCAUAAUAACUGAUCGAAUCUCUUUUUGAGAUAAAUCAUUCAAGUUUCUGCCCUAUCAGCUUUCGAUGGUAGUGUAUUGGACUACCAUGGCAGUAACGGGUAACGAAGAAUUAGGGUUCGAUUUCGGAGAGGGAGUAUGAGAAACGGCUACCACAUCUAAGGAAGGCAGCAGGCGCGUAAAUUACCCAAUCCUGACUCAGGGAGGUAGUGACAAGAAAUAGCAAACCGGGAACCUUAUGGUUUCACGGUAUUGCAAUGAGAACAAUUUAAAACCCUUAGCGAGAAUCAAGUGGAGGACAAGUCUGGUGCCAGCACCCGCGGUAAUUCCAGCUCCACUAGCGUAUAUUAAAGUUGUUGCAGUUAAAAAGCUCGUAGUUGAACCUCUGUCUGGGGCUAGUUUUGGCUUUGGUCAGGCUAGUUCUAGGCAUCCGCCUACAAGACUUAGAGGGCAUUCAGUUGUUCACUAGGAGGAGUAGGCAUUUUACUUUGAAAAAAUUAGAGUGUUUAAGGCAGGCAAUCGCCCGCAUAUAUUAGCAUGGAAUAAUAGAAUAGGACACUUUUCCAUUUCGUUGGUAUUGGAAUCGUGUAAUGAUUAAUAGGGACAGUUGUGGGCAUUUGUAUUUAAUUGUCAGAGGUGAAAUUCUUGGAUUUAUUAAAGACAAACUAACGCGAAAGCAUUUGCCAAGGAUGUUUUCAUUAAUCAAGAACGAAAGUUAGGGGAUCAAAGACGAUCAGAUACCGUCCUAGUCUUAACUAUAAACUAUUCCGACUCAAUGUUUGACUGGCUUAUAUAACCAGUUGAGCGUUGUAUGAGAAAUCAAAGUCUUUAGGUUCUGGGGGGAGUAUGGUUGCAAAGCUGAAACUUAAAGGAAUUGACGGAAGAGCACAACCAGGAGUGGAUUCUGCGGCUUAAUUUGACUCAAUAUGGGGAAACUAACCAGGUUAAAACAAUAGUGGGAUUGACAGUUUGAGAGCGCUUUCUUGAUUGGUUGGGUGGUGGUGCAUGGCCGUUCUUAGUUGGUGGAGUGAUUUGUCUGCUUAAUUGCGUUAACGAAC